CUACGGGCCGCUCCAGUGGGGAAUAUUGGACAAUGGGGGAAACCCUGAUCCAGCAAUGCCGCGUGUGUGAAGAAGGCCUGCGGGUUGUAAAGCACUUUCGGUUGGGAGGACUGCUUCUAGCACUAAUAUUGUUGGAAGUUGACGUUACCUUCAGAAGAAGCACCGGCUAACUCCGUGCCAGCAGCCGCGGUAAUACGGAGGGGGCAAGCGUUAAUCGGAAUUACUGGGCGUAAAGCGCGCGUAGGCGGCUAGAUCAGUCGGGUGUGAAAGCCCCGGGCUUAACCUGGGAACGGCGUCCGAUACUGUCUAGCUUGAGUACAGGAGAGGAGAGUGGAAUUCCACAUGUAGCGGUGAAAUGCGUAGAUAUGUGGAGGAACACCAAUGGCGAAGGCAGCUCUCUGGCCUGAUACUGACGCUGAGGUGCGAAAGCGUGGGGAGCAAACAGGAUUAGAUACCCGUGUAGUC
rnacentral:rRNA from 1 species